rnacentral:rRNA from 1 species
UACAGAGGGUGCAAGCGUUAUCCGGAUUCACUGGGUUUAAAGGGUGCGUAGGCGGAUUAGAAAGUCCGUUGUGAAAUCUCUGAGCUUAACUCGGAAAUUGCGGUGGAUACUAUUAGUCUUGAAUACUGUGGAGGUUAGCGGAAUAUGUCAUGUAGCGGUGAAAUGCAUAGAUAUGACAUAGAACACCAAUUGCGAAGGCAGCUGGCUACACAGAUAUUGACGCUGAGGCACGAAAGCGUGGGGAUCAAACAGG